GGUUAAGCGACUAAGCGUACACGGUGGAUGCCCUGGCAGUCAGAGGCGAUGAAGGACGUGCUAAUCUGCGAUAAGCGUCGGUAAGGUGAUAUGAACCGUUAUAACCGGCGAUUUCCGAAUGGGGAAACCCAGUGUGUUUCGACACACUAUCAUUAACUGAAUCCAUAGGUUAAUGAGGCGAACCGGGGGAACUGAAACAUCUAAGUACCCCGAGGAAAAGAAAUCAACCGAGAUUCCCCCAGUAGCGGCGAGCGAACGGGGAGGAGCCCAGAGCCUGAAUCAGUGUGUGUGUUAGUGGAAGCGUCUGGAAAGGCGCGCGAUACAGGGUGACAGCCCCGUACACAAAAAUGCACAUGCUGUGAGCUCGAUGAGUAGGGCGGGACACGUGGUAUCCUGUCUGAAUAUGGGGGGACCAUCCUCCAAGGCUAAAUACUCCUGACUGACCGAUAGUGAACCAGUACCGUGAGGGAAAGGCGAAAAGAACCCCGGCGAGGGGAGUGAAAAAGAACCUGAAACCGUGUACGUACAAGCAGUGGGAGCACGCUUAGGCGUGUGACUGCGUACCUUUUGUAUAAUGGGUCAGCGACUUAUAUUCUGUAGCAAGGUUAACCGAAUAGGGGAGCCGAAGGGAAACCGAGUCUUAACUGGGCGUUAAGUUGCAGGGUAUAGACCCGAAACCCGGUGAUCUAGCCAUGGGCAGGUUGAAGGUUGGGUAACACUAACUGGAGGACCGAACCGACUAAUGUUGAAAAAUUAGCGGAUGACUUGUGGCUGGGGGUGAAAGGCCAAUCAAACCGGGAGAUAGCUGGUUCU
rnacentral:rRNA from 1 species